UACGUAGGGCGCAAGCGUUAUCCGGAAUUAUUGGGGGUAAAGAGCUCGUAGGCGGUUUGUCGCGUCUGCCGUGAAAGUCCGGGGCUCAACUCCGGAUCUGCGGUGGGUACGGGCAGACUAGAGUGAUGUAGGGGAGACUGGAAUUCCUGGUGUAGCGGUGAAAUGCGCAGAUAUCAGGAGGAACACCGAUGGCGAAGGCAGGUCUCUGGGCAUUAACUGACGCUGAGGAGCGAAAGCAUGGGGAGCGAACAGG
rnacentral:rRNA from 1 species